AUGGCCUGGCCUGUGCUUCUCCUCACCCUCCUCAAUCAGGCCACAGGUUCCUGGGCCCAGUCUGCUCUGAAUCAGCCUUCCUCAGUGUCUGGGGCUCUGGGACAGUCAGUCACCAUCUCCUGUGCUGGGACCAGCAAUGACAUUGGGGGUUAUAAUCAUGUGUCCUGGCUCCAGCAGCUCCCUGGCAAGGCAACCAAGCUCCUGAUUUAUGAUGUCAGUUCCCGGCCCUCAGGGAUCCCUGAUCGCUUCUCUGGCUCCAAGUCAGGCAACACGGCCACCUUAACCAUCUCUGGUCUCAAGCCUGAGGAUGAGGCUGAGUAUCACUGUUGCUCAUAUACGAAGAAAGAAAGCUCCAGUGAAAACUCCCAGAUGCCUCCCACCACCCGAGACCUUGUUGGGGAUGAUCUGCCUCCCAAGAAGCCUGAAGAGGAUGCAGCCAUAUUCUCUAGCCCAACCCUAGGUGGCUUCCUGUCACCGCAGACAUCAACAGAGGAAGAGUUGGCUGAAGACCACCCACCUAGCUCGCCAGUCACAUCGAUAUCCCAGAAGGAGAUACAGGAGAUACAGGAGAUACAGUCUUAA